rnacentral:rRNA from 1 species
AAAACUUUCAACAACGGAUCUCUUGGUUCUCGCAUCGAUGAAGAACGCAGCGAAAUGCGAUACGUAGUAUGACUUGCAGACGUGAAUCAUUGAAUUUUUGAACGCACAUUGC